GGUUAACGCUGGCGGCGUGCCUAACACAUGCAAGUCGAACGGUUCUAAGCGCGAGCUUAGGAUAGUGGCGAACGGGUGAGUAAAAGGUAGGAAUCUACCCCUUGGACGGAGAUAGCUACUGGAAACGGUAGGUAAACUUCGAUAAGCCCGAGAGGGGAAAGUGGUGAGACAGCCGAGGGAUGAGCCUACUCUCCAUCAGGUAGUUGGUGAGAUAAAAGCUUACCAAGCCGAUGACGGAUAACCGGUGUGAGAGCAUGAACGGUCACAAGGGCACUGAGAGACGGGCCCUACUCCUACGGGAGGCAGCAGUGGGGAAUCUUGGACAAUGGGCGAAAGCCUGAUGCAGCGACGCCGCGUGAGUGAAGAAGUGCUUCGGCAUGUAAAGCUCUAUCAGCAGGGAAGAAGAUGACGGUACCUGACUAAGAAGCCCCGGUAACUACGUG
rnacentral:rRNA from 1 species